UACGUAGGGUGCGAGCGUUGUCCGGAAUUAUUGGGCGUAAAGGGCUCGUAGGCGGUUUGUCGCGUCGGGAGUGAAAACAUCCAGCUUAACUGGGUGCUUGCUUUCGAUACGGGCAGACUUGAGGUAUGCAGGGGAGAAUGGAAUUCCUGGUGUAGCGGUGAAAUGCGCAGAUAUCAGGAGGAACACCGGUGGCGAAGGCGGUUCUCUGGAACGCAACUGACGCUGAGACGCGAAAGCGUGGGGAGCAAACAGG
rnacentral:rRNA from 1 species